GACAGAGGUGCCGAGCGUUAGGCGGAAUCACUGGGCUUAAAGCGUGUGUAGGCGGACCGUUAAGUGCCUUGUGAAAUCCCCCGGCUCAACCGGGGAACGGCUGGGCAUACUGGCGGUCUUGAGUCACCCAGGGGCUGCCGGAACAAAUGGUGGAGCGGUGAAAUGCGUAGAUAUCGUCUGGAACGCCGAAGGUGAAACAAGCUCGCUGGGGCUGCGCUGACGCUGAGACACGAAAGCCAGGGGAGCGAACGGG
rnacentral:rRNA from 1 species